GAGGCCUUAGCUUAAUUAAAGUGCUUGAUUUGCGUUCAUGUGAUGUGUAUCAGUGUUGCACAGGUCUUA
rnacentral:tRNA from 1 species